rnacentral:rRNA from 1 species
AACGAACGCUGGCGGCAUGCCUAACACAUGCAAGUCGAACGAGCCCUUCGGGUCUCGUCGCGCAAGGGUGCGUAUCGCGUGGGAACCUGCCCUUAGUCUCGGAAUAACCCCCCGCCAGGGGUGCUAAUACCGGCUCAUGUCUUCUUCCCAAAGAUUUUUCGCCUUUGGAUGGGCCCGCGUUGGAUUAGCUAGUUGGUAGGGUAAAAGCCUACGAAGGCGACGAUCCAUAGCUGGUCUGAGAGGAUGAGCGGCCACACUGGGACUGAGACACGGCGCAGACGCGUAGGGGAGGGAGCAGUGGGGAAUAGGGGAAAAUGGGCGAAAGGCGGAGGCAGCGAAGCCGCGUGAGUGAUAAAGGCCUGAGGGUUGGAAAGAACUUUUAGCCGGGAUGAAAAUGACAGUACCGGGAGAAGAAGCUCCGGCUAACUCCGUG